CGGGUAACAACGAGUCGCAAGACCGCGAGGUUUAGCAAAUCUCUUAAAGCCGUUCUCAGUUCGGAUUGUAGGCUGCAACUCGCCUACAUGAAGUCGGAAUCGCUAGUAAUCGCGGAUCAGCAUGCCGCGGUGAAUACGUUCCCGGGCCUUGUACACACCGCCCGUCACACCAUGAGAGUUUGUAACACCCAAAGCCGGUGGGGUAACCUUUUGGAGCCAGCCGUCUAAGGUGGGACAGAUGAUUAGGGUGAAGUCGUAACAAGGUAUC
rnacentral:rRNA from 1 species